CCCAUCCUUUUUGCUAAACUUUCAUUUUCAAGGCACUCAUGGAACAUAAAACCCUCGAUUAUAACUUUUCACUAGACAUACCAUGAACGACUUAAAUUUAUCUUGGUUUUUGAAAAAAUAUAGUUGCUUUCAUCUAAAAAUAGCAGUUACCAGUUGGCUAUUUUGAGUUCAGGAACACGACUUCCCUUGCCUGUGGCAACUUGCAACCAAAGGAACUCACAACCCUUUAAACCAUCCAGUGUCCCUUUGUCUAAAUGACAAAGACGGGGGUCCACAAAUUGUGCUUCCACAUACUGCAGGGAUUCAGGAGCCAGCACUUUGCAAUGGAAACUCUGGGGCCGAUGGUGUGUCUGGUGUAACUGCAGACCCGACAGAGAGGGUACACCACAGGGAACCCAGAGGUAAAAAUCAUGUGUUUGGCCACCUGGGAGCCAGCAAGCUUGGCAACGUGCCAGGAGAAGACACAGGAAUUCUUAAGACAGCCAGCAACCUGGGACUUUCUACCUCAACGUGUCCCAGUAGCCCACCUGCUAGGUCCCAGCUCUGAGGUGUGCAGCUGCCUCCCGAGCCAGCCGAACUCCGGGACAGGACUCAGCCAGAUGGGUGGCAACCUUCCCCUGCCACAGGGCUGGUGACCUCACUGUGGCAAAGAAACUGUUAGAAAAACUGCGUUUUCACUCCCCACAAUUUCAGCGCAGGAAGGCAAAUGCCUGUGGAAAACAGAGUGCUCCUUUAAAACCCAGCUUUUUACUCAAGAGAAGAAAGCUCGUGAUAACUGGCUGAGAGCUCAUGCUGCAGAAAGAGCUAUGGCUGAAGAGACAAGGGAAACAGCCACCCUGAGAAAAUUGCUGGAAGUGAACCGAAAGAUAGCAAUGCUGUAAAAACCUGUGAUUGUAAAGCCAGUGCCAGGAAGACCCCAUGUGCAAAACCUCCCAUGAAGACCUCUUCCUGCCAAGCAAGAAGCUCCAUCGAAGAGAUGCCCCCAGAAGUGAAUUUGCUCCAGGAUCUGCUGCAGCUCCGAUGAUGAACAGCAGCCCAAGAAGGCCUUUCCCUUCUGAGGUGAUGGAUGUGGGCAAGGGAAGGAUGGCUGCAGAAGGGCCCCCUGCUUUUCCAGAACCCCCUAUACCACCACCCAUUCAAUGUGGACCUCGAGUCUGAGGUCCUCUGGGAACAUUUCCUCCACCAUUUGGUCCUGGUUUGCAGCCACCUGUAGGCUUAAGAAUAUGUACCAGGCGUUCCAUGUGGAAAAUGGGAUGCACCUUUCUACCCUUGAGAAUUUGGACCACGACAUCACACACACUCUAGACCGCUGGGCUCAGCUGGCCCUCACAAUAUCACGCUUUUAAAUGUCUCACCCUGUUUUGAAUGAACAUAAACCUGGAAUGCUUGCUUGGCGAACUUUUACACUAAAAACAUGUUUUCUCAUAACGCAAUGGCUUUUAACCUCCUGUUCAUUUAUUAAAUUUGAAAUGUUUUUAAUCAUAAAAAGCACUCCCACUGGAUGAGUAAGAAGCUAGAUUACUAAGAAGCUAGAAAAAUUCUUUGGCAGGUGGAGUGGGGAAAAUGAGACUGUUCAACAAGUCUGAGCGAUUUACAGCCAGCUAAUAAGUCACAAGGUCUUAUCCUCCUGAACCAAGGACACCUAGGAGUUGGUUUACACAUUCCAGACCAGGCUCAGGCAGAUCCACCUCAGUCCCUUUCCUGUGAAACUGACCAGAGAAUAACCCUGACCCCUCUAUACAUUCAUUUUCAUGCAUUAGCAUGUCAAAGGCUCCUGGACAUCUGGACAGCUGAUGAAUAUUCUAUUGAGAUCCUCCCGAGACCUCCCCUAAAAUUCCUGUGCCUUCCCCCACCCCUUCCUCCCUCAGGAUUGUGUCUUCGCUGUCUUUCUCCUAAGCUCUAAACUCUAAGGGUCCCAGUGAGACUUGCAACCCAGGAAGAAGCAGGCAGUGGCAGCUCAUCUCGGGGUAGCCCCUAAACCUGUCUCCGAGGGCCCUUCUAUUGCCUAACUUUUCAGUGAAUCGAAGAGUCACUCCACUUAGGCUCACUCCUGUUGCUGUGAUCUUGCCUCUUCUAUCCUAAGCCCUUCCUUUGUUUCAUUGUCCCUACCUUUAAAUGUGUUAGGAUGUACUGAGACACGGAGGGCCUAAGCCACCACCUGUGCUGGAACGAAGAAGGUAUGUGUUGCCAGCUGAAUGCCCGACCGCAAAAUUCCCUCUUACUGGAAGCCACUGAGGCGUAGCUGUCUGCGUCCUGCUGGAAACUGGUUGGAUCCGUAUUUCCCCUCCCCGCUCCCUCAAGGUUUCCCAGAAACAAGGCCCAUAAAUCUCCCAGACAUUCUGUUCCCAAAGCAGCUAUCCCUGACCAGAGGACAUUGUCUUGCAAACACCUAUACCCAGGACACCUGGGACAGAUCAGCAGGGUGACCCACCCUACCUGGGGGUCUGCUAAACACCCUUAAAAACUCUUCCACCCUUUCCCCUGUUGCUGCCGUCUGCUUGGACUCAGCCCACCUGAUCCUAGUGUCCCACCUUGAA